AUUCUUUUAACAAUAGUACUUCAACUGUCAUUUCCUUCUUUUAUUUUUCUCUUUCAUGGAUGCCAUGUUCUUUGGAAGUUUGUUUAGAUCAAGUUAAUGGCCUUUUAGGCUUGGUCCACGUGAAUAGGACUUCACUUUUUGAAUAACAAGAAUUAUAUGUCA